rnacentral:misc_RNA from 1 species
AGUAGCGGUCCCCGGCCUCGGUCGGGGUGCCCCUCACCCUUUGCGUACCUUCUGAGCGUUGCUUUGGCGGGCUCGCGCCCGCCAGAGGCCUUUACCACCGAUAUUUUUGAACUGUCUGAGUGUCUAUGACAAUAAAUUAAAACUUUCAACAACGGAUCUCUUGGUUCC